UGACAACCCCCCAUCCAGAGGAGAGUGAAAUUGCUCUCUACGAUUUGGACAGGUCAUGAAAAGCUAUCUCUAGAAAUUUUUGAAACCUUAUAUUUCAUUUCAAAAAUGAGUGCGAUUUUGCAUUUCUACCGCAAAAUAUAUCUCAGCCACAUACCGUUGGACCUAAUGUGACCAGCUGGCCCCAGGUGUGUCCAGACACACAACUUUGGACAUAUUAGGAGAAAUGAUCAGACUUCAGAAGGCCAAACCCAGCCCCUCCUGCUCUUGUGGCCGUGUCUCUUCCAGGUUUCUUGCCCUCUGUUUUUCUGGAACCCUGAGGGAUUUUACACAUGUUCCCUAAUGCUCCAUUCUCACAAGCCCGGGGUCCUCUCACCCCCUCUCACCCCUAAGUUUGUCCCUAAGUUCACUGAGUCAACAGCCUCGCAUGGGGGCAGGGUCCAGACAGCACCUCUUUCUCUUCCUGCAUUUCUUCAGGAGCCAGAAAGGGAUGGGGGUGUCUCUCCUAAAUUGUAUCAAUGUCUGGCAGCUCCGUAAGCCCUGUGUUCUGUCAUCUCAGGUCACUCUGCUGGCCUUGGGCCCCUCUCUGUCCUGCUGACCAUUCUGGUCUGGGCCCUGGGGAAAGGGCUUUCCUUUGUUGUGUCACAGAAGAGCUCCCAGCAGAGCGCAGCUUUCGCGUCUCUCCUGCAUAUCUCGGCCCUCUGCUUCCAGCAGGCAGGCUCUCCCGGACUCAGGGACUCCAUGGUCCUCCACAGCCUGGCUGUCGUCAGGGUCUCCGCUCUUUAGUGGCCGUUCAGAAAGUGUCACUCUGAACAUAAAGACAAAGCUAGUCUUCAGGAGUGGAAGUGAGGGGCAGCUGAUAAGUCUCAGCUCUGACCCAGCCAAGACACCUUAGUGGGUGAAAGAGUCAAGAGCAUUGCUGGCUGGAGACAAGAGAUGGCGCUGUGAGCCCAACGGAAAGAGAAGGCGGUGAGAGACCGUGCGCCACCUCCCAGCUGAUUAAAGGCCACCAAAAUGCACUUCCUGGGAUUUUUCUGAUUUGUUUUCUCAUGGCCUUUGGGGCUUCCUCAAACUCAAAAUAAUUGCC
rnacentral:lncRNA from 1 species